CUGGACUUGGCGCAGGAAGCGCGAAUCAGAACAUGGAUAACAGGGAUCCCAUCAGGAUGGUGGGGCGAUCACGGAUGUCAGGACACGGUCUGCAAGAACCCCGCUUCGGCGGGGUUUU
rnacentral:sRNA from 1 species